rfam:Medicago truncatula strain A17 chromosome 2, whole genome shotgun sequence.
AUAGGGUCUAGACCUGGCAUAUCUUCAUACGACCAUGCAAAAAUAUCCGGAUAUUCCCGGAGGAGUUGGAUAAUCUUCUGUUUAACCCCUUCCUCUAGAGUAGCACCAAUCUUGAUUUCUUGCUUGUUUUCCUCGGUACCUAUGUUGAUAAGCUCAAUCUCUUCCUGG